rnacentral:tRNA from 1 species
GGUCUGUGGCUCAGUGGUAGAUUGGUCUCCUUGCACGUGCGAGACUCUGGGUUCAAUCCUCAGCACCA